GAACUGGCAAAGCUCCCAUCCUGCCCUGACCCUGCCAUGAGCACCAGCCUCCUCUGCUGGGUGGCCCUCUCCCACCUGGGGGCAGAACUCACAGACGCUGGAGUUGUCCAGGCCCCCAGAUAUAAGAUUACAGACAAAAGGCAGGCUGUGGCUUUUUGGUGUGAUCCUAUUUAUGGCCAUGAUAUCCUUUACUGGUACCGGCAGAUCCUGGGACAGGGCACUGAGCUUCUGAUUCGAUUUCAGGAUGAAGGGGUAGUAGAUGAUUCACAGUUGCCUAAAGAUCGAUUUUCUGCAGAAGCUCAAAGGCGUAGACUCCACCCUCAAGAUCCAGCCUGCAGAGCUUGGGGACUCAGCCGUGUAUCUCUGUGCCAGCAGCGUAGCCACAGCAUCACAGAGACCUUCUCUCCUGUGCACAAAACUCCAGGCUGUCUCCUCUCUGUCAGCUCAUGGCAGCCUUUCCUUAUUCCUCAUCCUUCCAGGGAGGAAGUGAGUUUUCAGACACAGCUAGGAUUCAUGUAGUGGAAGGAGAUGAACUAUUUCUUAAAACACGAGUGCUAUAAUUGUUGUUUGAAAAUAUGUCUUAGGGAUUUGAAACACUUCUGGGUGGGAAUUCGAGAAACCAAAACUGAAAGCGACUUAUCACAGACUUAGUCCUCAGGGGUAGUGAGCGUGGUUGUUCUAUAGAAAAUGCAUAUGAUGAUGU